rnacentral:lncRNA from 1 species
AUAAACAUUUUCUUAUUAUUUUUACUCUAAAUAGUCAUAGUAUUAUAACCUUUUUAGUCUUUAAUUACCGUAGGGUUUGAAAGCACUCCAUGGAUGAUGGCAACGGGCCCCUUUGAUGAAUUCUAGGUUAAAAGCCCAAGAUUUGUCUUUUCCCUAUAAAUAGUCAUGUAUUAUUCACAAUUAGGGUUAAGAGAGUGAGACAAAAUGUAGCCGCCACGUGAGGUUUCUUAUAUAGUGUUAGAUUCUUUAGUCUAUGCUGAAAGUGUAAUUUAUUCCUCUUGUUUGAAUAAAUCGAGUGAUCAUUCGACCUAAUCUUCAUAUUUGUGUUUGUUCUUAUUUUCCGCAUCCUGUUCAUCAAAUCUCAAUUAGGGUUUUCAUCUCAACAAGUGGUAUCAGAGCGGGUCUUUGAAGGUCUAUUGAUUUUUGAAGUAUCGGUUCGUGGUUUGAUCAUUUUCUGCACAAGUUAUUGAAGAUUAUUGGUAUUUUGGCGUCUUGGAAUCAAGAUUUUUGUUCGAUCAACUGUUCAUGGUAACUUAUGUAUUCUGUUACUGUUCAUCAUGGUAAUUCCAAUCCAAUUCUCAUUUUGUUCAUCUUUUUCUAUGGAUCCGAUUUGUUUUAUACUCAAAAUCUUUUGAUUCAAGUAUUAUCCAUAAAUCUAUACGUUUUUGCCCAAAUCACGAGUUAUUGCUCAUAUCGUUUAUUUGAUUCAGUGUGGCCCAUAUUACAAUAUGAUAUUGUUACUGUUCAUAUCGUUUAUUUGAGCCCAUCACUUCUAAAUCAUUUGUUCCAAUUCUUCCUUGUUCAUAUACUUCGUCUGUUUAUUCUUGACUUUUGAUUGAACUUUCAUUAAAUUAGUAUUCUAUUUUGGGUUUCCUGGUCGAAUGAGUUGAUCGAUUAUUGUUUUCACCAUACAAAUCCUCGUGUUAAUCGAUCAUAUAAUUCAAAUCGUGUUCUUGAUUUUUCUUGAUUAUUAGCUUUCUUGUUCGAUUGAAGUUGUUGUGGUUCUCCGAUUUGAUUAAUCAAUCCUUGUUCUUGAAUCGACUUGAGUAAUUCAUAAGUUUCAGUUUAGUUUUGACUUGGAUUGAUCUAAAAAUCAAUUUGGAGAAGAUAGUUUUGGUGUUCUUGAGUAUCUGGUAACGUUGAAGAACUAAGGAUGAACAGAUGAAGAAUUGGAAAAUCAUUGUUGAAUCGGUGUGUUUAAUCUAAAAUAUCGAUUGGAAUAAUGGUUUAGUUGUUUAUCGAUUGUGGUGAAAUUGAUGGCUUGCUUCCGAUUCAAACUCGAUGGGUCAAACGAAAAAGUCAAAAUCAGAAUCGUGACUACAAUUGGAACUAAUAAUAUUGAACUUGGAAUCGUAAUUGUGAUUCGGAGCGAACUGUUGAUUUGUAAAUGGAAGGUUAAUUGUUCGAUUCUGAACGAACGGGUUCGUUGUUGGAAUUGAGACCGGGUUCGGAACCGGGUGUGAUUCUAGAUUCGCAAUUGGUUGAUACGCAUUUGAAAUUGGCAUUGGAAUGGCUCGGGUUCACAUUCGUAUUGGUGUGCUCGGUAUGAAGGGUUGAUCAGAAUCGAAUUUUUGGGUUUGGUUUACGAACAUUUGGAGGUUUCGCAUCUCGUUUGGUCGCCGUUGAAAGACUGGAGCAUGAUGCAGUCGUGUUCCUUUAAUCUCGUCUAAAUGGGGAAGAAAAUAUUCAAGUUACAUUUUUAGUCCCUGCAACUUCAGCGAUUUGGCGGUUCUGAUCCCUGUAUUUUUUGUGACUUGGCACUUUUGGAUUAUAUUCAGAAAUUGUUACAUGAAGGGGGAAACUGAUGCAGAGUUACAUUUUUAGUCCCAGAAUUUCAGCAAAGUGACAAUUUCAGCCCAUUUUUUGAAAAGUUUACAAAUUUGAGGGCUGGUGAACAGUUUUGGAUUUUUUAUCGCACAUAUUUUUUCGUGAACAGAAAAUUAAGGAUUCCAUCAAGUCUUGGCGGUUCGGAAAGUCGUUUUUCGUGAUAACGACAAAUUUUCAAAUUUUAUACUUUAUUGUGUAUAUCAUUUUGUCGCGAGGGAGCUUAGUAAAUUUUUAUCCAUUCAAGAUCAUUCUCAUGACCAUUUGAAGGCUUUAUAAUCAUGUUUUUGAUUAUAAAUCGGGGGAGAAUUCGGUAUGGUCAUUCGAAAUUGGAUUUGUAACUUUUCAAAUUUGAAGAUUUUUUAUAAAGCUUGUGGUAGAAUUAUGAAUGUAGCUUUUACAGCGGAAGUUCUUCAUUGAGCUCUGCUAAAGCUUUUACAGAGAAGUAUCCUUUACAGCGGAAGUUCUUUAUCGAGCUCUGCUAAGGACUUGUUAUAUCUCCGACUUCUUGUAUUUUCUCGAUCAAGUGGCGUUACGAAUCUUAAAGUUUGGGUUGUUACAUGAUAUUUUUUGAUGGCUUAUAUCAUUAGCUUAUUUGAAGAUCAUUGUGACUUGGAGGGGGAGCUCUUCAAAGACAAGAAGUGAUUCGGUUUCUUUGUUCUGAAAUGGGUUUUUAUGGCGGGUUUGGUUUUCAUGAAGAUUCUUUGGGAUUACAUUUGAAAAUGAAGUUUAAAGACAUUACUUCAGUGCUUGAUUUAUAUAUCAUAGAGCCCGUGUUUGAAGACUAUUGAAGAAUCAAGAUUCGUGGAUUGCUUCAUAUAUUCCUCGUUGCAGAUCUUUUUAUUUGCUAGAUGCUUGUUUUGGAAGUUAAAGCAUUAUCAUCCAUUCCAUACUUUGAGGGGGAGAUUGUAGGGUUUCAAAGCACUCCAUGGAUGAUGGCAAUGGGCCCCUUUGAUGAAUUCUAGGUUAAAACCCAAGAUUUGUCUUUUCCCUAUAAAUAGUCAUGUAUUGUUCACAAUUAGGGUUAAGAGAGUGAGACAAAAUGUAGCCGCCACGUGAGGUUUCUUAUAUAGUGUUAGAUUCUUUAGUCUAUGCUGAAAGUGUAAUUUAUUCCUCUUGUUUGAAUAAAUCGAGUGAUCAUUCGACCUAAUCUUCAUAUUUGUGUUUGUUCUUAUUUUCCGCAUCAUGUUCAUCAAAUCUCAAUUAGGGUUUUCAUCUCAACAAUUACCAUGUUUUUUUCAUAAAUAUCAAUUUUUUUUCUUUAUCGAAGAAGAAAGAUACUCUAAGUUGUAAAAAAUUUCCACUAUGGCAAGUACAUAUGGCCUUAUACACUAACUCAAUUUUGGAGAGUGGAAAAUGUUAUCAAACUACAUUACAAGAAGUACUAUUUAAAGAAUUUGUAAUUAUACAUUUAUAUAACUAGACACGUGAUUUAUUAAAAUAUUA